rnacentral:misc_RNA from 1 species
UUUCCGUAGGUGAACCUGCGGAAGGAUCAUUCAUAAUAAAGUGUCUUAUGGCACUUUUUAAAAAUCCAUAUCCACCUUGUGUGCAAUGUUAGAUCUCGUCAAUCUUGGCGAGAUUUUUAUACAUCAACUCAUUCUUUAACUAAUUUGUCUGAAAAAUAUUAUGAAUACUUAAUUCAAAAUACAACUCUCAACAACGGAUCUCUUGGCUCUC